rnacentral:rRNA from 1 species
AUUGAACGCUAGCGGGAUGCUUUACACAUGCAAGUCGAACGGCAGCGCGGACUUCGGUCUGGCGGCGAGUGGCGAACGGGUGAGUAAUGUAUCGGAACGUGCCCAGUAGCGGGGGAUAACUACGCGAAAGCGUAGCUAAUACCGCAUACGCCCUACGGGGGAAAGCAGGGGAUCGUAAGACCUUGCACUAUUGGAGCGGCCGAUAUCGGAUUAGCUAGUUGGUGAGGUAACGGCUCACCAAGGCGACGAUCCGUAGCUGGUUUGAGCGGACGACCAGCCACACUGGGACUGAGACACGGCCCAGACUCCUACGGGAGGCAGCAGUGGGGAAUUUUGGACUAUGGGGGCACCCCUGAUCCAGCCAUCCCGCGUGUGCGAUGAAGGCCUUCGGGUUGUAAAGCACUUUUGGCAGGAAAGAAACGUCGCGGGCUAAUACCCCGUGGAACUGACGGUACCUGCAGAAUAAGCACCGGCUAACUACG